UACGUAGGGUGCAAGCGUUUAAUCGGAAUUACUGGGCGUAAAGCGUGCGCAGGCGGUGAUGUAAGACAGAUGUGAAAUCCCCGGGCUCAACCUGGGAACUGCAUUUGUGACUGCAUCGCUGGAGUGCGGCAGAGGGGGAUGGAAUUCCAUGUGUAGCAGUGAAAUGCGUAGAUAUGUGGAGGAACACCGAUGGCGAAGGCAGCCCCCUGGGUCGACACUGACGCCUCAUGCACAAAAGCGUGGGGGAGCAAACAGG
rnacentral:rRNA from 1 species